rnacentral:lncRNA from 1 species
CAGUAUCGUCCACAGCAGACAGCUGUUGUGUUUUAGAGAUUUUAAAAUGUGAACACAGAUUGGACAAACGCAUGUAAGCGACUGCUCUGAGACUGGGUUAGAGUUAGAGCAUCCCUGGGGGAUUCUGUGUGGAGGAUCUGGCAGCCCUGGGGGAUGUGUGUGGGGGGAUUCUGUGUGGAGGAUCUGGCAGCCCUGGGGGAUGUGUGUGCGGGGAUUCUGUGUGGAGGAUCUGGCAGCCCUGGGCAGCUCUGCUCUAUCAGAAGCUCGGGUAAUAAACUCGUAUCUCCAGGCUGUACAGUGAGUGAGGUGCGGGGUGUUUACAGUAAUGCAGAUGAGUUGGUGACAGGGGGCGUGGCCCAGAGCAGUGUCUGAGUAUGGAGUAUGCGAGAAGGGGUGGACGCGGCGACCGAAUAGGGCGGUACAGAAAAGACUCUGAAGACCACGAUUACAGAGAUAUGGACUACCGCGGCUACACCCAGAGCCGCAUCCCACGGGGCGGAGGAUACCACCUCAAUAGCAGCGAGAACAGCAAGCGGCAGCGCCAAAGGGAUGACUGUGCCGGAGUGACGCGGGAGUUCCUGCCGGAUCUGUGUUCUGAGAACCGGGCGGGGUUCCGGCAAAGAGGGAUCCGUGGAGGGAUUGACAACCGGAGAGGGAACGGCUUCCCCGACGAUCCUCAGCAAACACACCAGCGGUACCAGCAGGAGGACGGGGAGCAACAGUACAGGCACCCGCGGGACUUCCAGCCCUUCAGGCAGAUCCAGACUGAUGAACACUCUUUCCAUCAAUCAGAGAGCAGCGAGGAGUGGGUCACAGCCGGGGGCCAGAGCAGGCCCUCAGAGGAGGAGGACGGUCCGGUGUGUCCAGGUCCCGGUAAAUACUCCAGAGGUGUCGACCAAAGAAGGGGUUUCUGUCCAUCGCAGCAGACUGAAGCGAGGGAUGACACUGGAGAGGGUGUUUACCUCACUGAGGUGGAGCCUGGACCGGAAGAGGCGGAGCUCCGGGAUCAAGACUACAGGGCUGAAGGAGAACAGGGCCAGAGACCGAGCAGCAUCAUCAUGCUCCGCAUGCUUCCGCCAAACGCCACCGUCACCGAGGUACAACCUCACCCUGACACCCGCACCCAU